GUUUAGAGUUGUUUUUAUGGUGUUAAUUUAUCAGAAUUAAAAAGUGUUGAUUCUGUUGUUGAUUUGAAUGGCAUUAACACUUGCAGUGUAAAUCAGUGGUCGGAGUCAGUGUAAUUACAGCGAGUUGACAUAAUUGACACUGGUGAUGAGUUGAUCCAAUUUCCGGUCCUUGCACAUUAUUUCCUUUUUGAUUAAUGGCGGACAACCACGAGGAGAGGACAGUGUUCAAACACAGAUAACGCGACAGACCACCGACAGAUAUUGAGGCCAUUUAGCUGCACCACUUGUUAGCAAGCAAAUUGAGCUUUCAUGUUCAUCAAGGUGUGAAGAAAUUUGUAAAACUGCACAGCGAUAGUACUUUCUAAGAUUUUCUCACUGAAGGAGAUCCCCACCCGCAAACAGCAGGAAACUUAUGCCUUGGGCAUUAUUUCUCUCUUUCCUAGCCUGAGAGACCAGUUUUCAACAACGGGCUAUGAGCAUUUCUACGUUCCGGAAAAGGGAACAGCGUUCAUCUCCUGGCGCCUUAAAACUUUGUCGAGGAAGAACCCAAAACGUGUUUGCUUGGAGAUGACUGAAAGUGGAGGACCAAGUCGUGGUGUAAUAGUUACAUCUGUGUUAAAAAUUAAAUUUCAAACUGAUACAGCGUGUUGACUUUUUUUUUUAUUUAUUUUUUUACACCGAAUGCACAGGUAUUUUUAGUCGAAUACAGAUUACACUUAAUUACCUUAAUCAGGGUUUGUA
rnacentral:lncRNA from 1 species